UUCAUCCCUUCCCUUCCCUUUCUUUCCCCCUCCCUCCCUCUCUGGGUCCCUUUCCCAUUUACAAAUGAUCCACCUCCUUACCUCCUAUUACUUAUCUUUUAUUUUGCUCUUCAUUUAGAUUUUGGGAUAUUACUAUUAUUAUUAUUAUGAUUAUUUUCACAUUUAAGCAUCUAUGUAUUUAUUGCACUAAAUCAUCAAAGUUCACCAGAGUCUAAAACCACAGACAGCUUUUCUAGUUAAACAUUUGGUGUUUCUAAGACGCAUACAGAUUUGUUCCACUGUGAAAAGAACGGGGAGCUUCUUAUCAGUAAGUGUCUUCUUAUAGGAGGGCUCAGCUAAGGACCCCAGCACAUGACCUGACUUCCUUGGCGACAGGUCCAAACAGAACUUGGGGCCCUAUCACCAGGCACCACCGUCUAGUGACAACUGCCCCCCCAGUCAGUUGGCUGAAAACAGUCAGCAGCAAACAUGCUGUGCUGCUUUCCCAGGCCUCCUGGUUGCAGCCUCAGGUCCCCUCGCAGGGAAACCACUUGGCAAUGAGUGAGAGGAUGGUUCACUUGGCCCAGAAGCUUCAGGACCCUCGCCAGGAACCGUCCAACAGUCAUGGGCAGCACAGGGCAGGUCUCACCAGACCCAGCCCCUAGAUGCCCAGAGACAAGAGAGAGCCCAGGACAAGUGUCCCUAGGUUCAGCCACCAGACACUUGGAGCCACUGAUAUCUGGACAGUUUGGAAAUCGGUCAACCAAGAGCUUGGCAGAGGUCUGCACAGUAAACACGGUGCAGGCAGGGAUUCCUCACACUCCAGUGGAGACCCUGGGGCAGGACUUCCAGGAUAACAAGAGCAGGUGCACCUUUUCUAUCUUUGACUCCUCAAUGGAGCUGAAAUCCCAGGUGCAGCCCCAGGAUGAGCGUCUCCAGGACCACUUGGUGCCUCCUGCGUUCUCUGAUGAAGAGCCCCAGGCUCCAGCCCACGCUGAUGUCCCACCUGCAGAGCUCGUGCCAACUGCAACUGCAGCUCCCUCACCAGUUCUGACCCCACAACAAGAGCCAGGACCUGAAACCCCUUCUCCACCAGCUGCAGAGCUGCAACUCCUGGUGGCUCCACAGCAAGUGCUAUCUCUUGAGCUCUACUUGGGGUCAACCCUUGACCCAUACCUGGAAUUCCUCUCCCUUAUAGAUUUAGUUAUUAUUAUAUUUAUUGUUACUCUUAUUUUCCAGAGACAGGUCAAUGACAGAAUUAUUUAAAAUAAAAUUUAAGCUUUUAGUCUUGUUUAAAAUGAUCAACUUGCUGCAUUUUCAGUGCAUUCUCAUUCAUUUG
rnacentral:lncRNA from 1 species